AUUGAACGCUGGCGGCAGGCCUAACACAUGCAAGUCGAGCGGUGCGGAGGACGGAUGAGUAAUCCCUAGGUAACUGCCCGGCAGUGGGGGAUAACGUCAGGAAACGGGCGCCAACACUGCAAACUAUGAGAUGAGCCUAGGUCGGAUAAGUUAGUUGGUGGGGUAAAGGCCUACCAUGGCGACGAUCAGUAACUAGUCUGUGUGGAUGAUCCGUCAGACUGGAACUGAGACCGGGUCCAGACUCCUACGGGAGGCAGCAGUGGGGAAUAUUGGACAAUGGGCGAAAGCCUGGUCCAGCCCUGCCGCGUGUGUGAAGAAGGUCUUCGGAUUGUAAAGCACUUUAAGUUGGGAGGCGUUACCAACAGAAUAAGCGCCGGCUAACUUCGUGCCAGCCGCCGCGGUAAUUC
rnacentral:rRNA from 1 species